rnacentral:rRNA from 1 species
AGUGAACGCUGGCGGUAGGCCUAACACAUGCAAGUCGAACGGCAGCACAGUAAGAGCUUGCUCUUACGGGUGGCGAGUGGCGGACGGGUGAGGAAUACAUCGGAAUCUACUUUUUCGUGGGGGAUAACGUAGGGAAACUUACGCUAGUACCGCAUACGACCUACGGGUGAAAGCAGGGGAUCUUCGGACCUUGCGCGAUUGAAUGAGCCGAUGUCGGAUUAGCUAGUUGGCGGGGUAAAGGCCCACCAAGGCGACGAUCCGUAGCUGGUCUGAGAGGAUGAUCAGCCACACUGGAACUGAGACACGGUCCAGACUCCUACGGGAGGCGGCAGUGGGGAAUAUUGGACAAUGGGCGCAAGCCUGAUCCAGCCAUACCGCGUGGGUGAAGAAGGCCUUCGGGUUGUAAAGCCCUUUUGUUGGGAAAGAAAAGCAGCAGGUUAAUACCCCGCUGUUCUGACGGUACCCAAAGAAUAAGCACCGGCUAACUUCGUG